rnacentral:rRNA from 1 species
GGGUUGUGAGGUUAAGCGACUAAGCGUACACGGUGGAUGCCCUGGCAGUCAGAGGCGAUGAAGGACGUGCUAAUCUGCGAAAAGCGUCGGUAAGGUGAUAUGAACCGUUAUAACCGGCGAUGUCCGAAUGGGGAAACCCAGUGUGAUUCGUCACACUAUCGUUAACUGAAUACAUAGGUUAACGAGGCGAACCGGGGGAACUGAAACAUCUAAGUACCCCGAGGAAAAGAAAUCAACCGAGAUUCCCCCAGUAGCGGCGAGCGAACGGGGAGCAGCCCAGAGUCUGAAUCAGCUUGUGUGUUAGUGGAACGGUCUGGAAAGUCCGACGGUACAGGGUGAUAGUCCCGUACACCAAAAUGCACAGGUUGUGAACUCGAAGAGUAGGGCGGGACACGUGGUAUCCUGUCUGAAUAUGGGGGGACCAUCCUCCAAGGCUAAAUACUCCUGACUGACCGAUAGUGAACCAGUACCGUGAGGGAAAGGCGAAAAGAACCCCGGCGAGGGGAGUGAAAAAGAACCUGAAACCGUGUACGUACAAGCAGUGGGAGCACCUUCGGGUGUGACUGCGUACCUUUUGUAUAAUGGGUCAGCGACUUAUAUUCUGUAGCAAGGUUAACCGUAUAGGGGAGCCGCAGGGAAACCGAGUCUUAACUGGGCGUUAAGUUGCAGGGUAUAGACCCGAAACCCGGUGAUCUAGCCAUGGGCAGGUUGAAGGUUGGGUAACACUAACUGGAGGACCGAACCGACUAAUGUUGAAAAAUUAGCGGAUGACUUGUGGCUGGGGGUGAAAGGCCAAUCAAACCGGGAGAUAGCUGGUUCUCCCCGAAAGCUAUUUAGGUAGCGCCUCGUGAACUCAUCUUCGGGGGUAGAGCACUGUUUCGGCUAGGGGGUCAUCCCGACUUACCAACCCGAUGCAAACUACGAAUACCGAAGAAUGUUAUCACGGGAGACACACGGCGGGUGCUAACGUCCGUCGUGAAGAGGGAAACAACCCAGACCGCCAGCUAAGGUCCCAAAGUCAUGGUUAAGUGGGAAACGAUGUGGGAAGGCACAGACAGCCGGAUGUUGGCUUAGAAGCAGCCAUCAUUUAAAGAAAGCGUAAUAGCUCACUGGUCGAGUCGGCCUGCGCGGAAGAUGUAACGGGGCUAAACCAUGCACCGAAGCUGCGGCAGCGACACUAUGUGUUGUUGGGUAGGGGAGCGUUCUGUAAGCCUGCGAAGGUGUGCUGUGAGGCAUGCUGGAGGUAUCAGAAGUGCGAAUGCUGACAUAAGUAACGAUAAAGCGGGUGAAAAGCCCGCUCGCCGGAAGACCAAGGGUUCCUGUCCAACGUUAAUCGGGGCAGGGUGAGUCGACCCCUAAGGCGAGGCCGAAAGGCGUAGUCGAUGGGAAACAGGUUAAUAUUCCUGUACUUGGUGUUACUGCGAAGGGGGGACGGAGAAGGCUAUGUUAGCCGGGCGACGGUUGUCCCGGUUUAAGCAUGUAGGCUGAUUGUCCAGGCAAAUCCGGAUAAUCAAGGCUGAGGUGUGAUGACGAGGCACUACGGUGCUGAAGUAACAAAUGCCCUGCUUCCAGGAAAAGCCUCUAAGCAUCAGGUAACAUCAAAUCGUACCCCAAACCGACACAGGUGGUCAGGUAGAGAAUACCAAGGCGCUUGAGAGAACUCGGGUGAAGGAACUAGGCAAAAUGGUGCCGUAACUUCGGGAGAAGGCACGCUGGUGUGUAGGUGAAGUCCCUGCGGAUGGAGCUGAGACCAGUCGAAGAUACCAGCUGGCUGCAACUGUUUAUUAAAAACACAGCACUGUGCAAACACGAAAGUGGACGUAUACGGUGUGACGCCUGCCCGGUGCCGGAAGGUUAAUUGAUGGGGUUAUCCGUAAGGAGAAGCUCUUGAUCGAAGCCCCGGUAAACGGCGGCCGUAACUAUAACGGUCCUAAGGUAGCGAAAUUCCUUGUCGGGUAAGUUCCGACCUGCACGAAUGGCGUAAUGAUGGCGAGGCUGUCUCCACCCGAGACUCAGUGAAAUUGAACUCGCUGUGAAGAUGCAGUGUACCCGCGGCAAGACGGAAAGACCCCGUGAACCUUUACUAUAGCUUGACACUGAACAUUGAGCCUUGAUGUGUAGGAUAGGUGGGAGGCUUUGAAGCGUGGACGCCAGUCUGCGUGGAGCCAACCUUGAAAUACCACCCUUUAAUGUUUGAUGUUCUAACGUUGGCCCCUUACCGGGGUUGCGGACAGUGUCUGGUGGGUAGUUUGACUGGGGCGGUCUCCUCCCAAAGCGUAACGGAGGAGCACGAAGGUUAGCUAAUCCUGGUCGGACAUCAGGAGGUUAGUGCAAUGGCAUAAGCUAGCUUGACUGCGAGCGUGACGGCGCGAGCAGGUGCGAAAGCAGGUCAUAGUGAUCCGGUGGUUCUGAAUGGAAGGGCCAUCGCUCAACGGAUAAAAGGUACUCCGGGGAUAACAGGCUGAUACCGCCCAAGAGUUCAUAUCGACGGCGGUGUUUGGCACCUCGAUGUCGGCUCAUCACAUCCUCGGGGCUGAAGUAGGUCCCAAGGGUAUGGCUGUUCGCCAUUUAAAGUGGUACGCGAGCUGGGUUUAGAACGUCGUGAGACAGUUCGGUCCCUAUCUGCCGUGGGCGCUGGAGAAUUGAGGGGGGCUGCUCCUAGUACGAGAGGACCGGAGUGGACGCAUCACUGGUGUUCGGGUUGUCAUGCCAAUGGCACUGCCCGGUAGCUAAAUGCGGAAGAGAUAAGUGCUGAAAGCAUCUAAGCACGAAACUUGCCCCGAGAUGAGUUCUCCCUGAGACUUUAAGUCUCCUGAAGGAACGUUGAAGACGACGACGUUGAUAGGCCGGGUGUGUAAGCGCAGCGAUGCGUUGAGCUAACCGGUACUAAUGAACCGUGAGGCUUAACCUUACAACGCCGAAG